rnacentral:rRNA from 1 species
CCGGGGGCGGCGUGUCUAAUACAUGCAAGUCGAGCGGAUGACAUUAAAGAUCUGUCGCUCUUAUGAAGCUAGCGGCGGACGGGUGAUGACCACGUGGGUAACCUGCCCAUAAGACUGGGAUAACUCCGGGAAACCGGGGCUAAUACCGGAUAUAAUUUUGAACCGCGGGGAUCUAAAUUGAAAGGCGGCUUCGAUUGUCCUUUAUGGAUGGACCCGCGUCGCAUUAUAUAGGUGCAGAGGUAACGGCUCCCCAAGGCGACGAUGCGUGACCAACCUGAGAGGGUGAUCGGCCACACUGGGACUGAUACUCGGGCAAGACUCCUAGGGGAGGCUUGAAUAGGGAAUCUUCCCCUGUGGACGAAAUUCUGACGGAGCAACGCCGGGUGAGUGAUGAAGGCUUUCUGGUCGUAAAAAUCUGUUGUUAGGGAAAAACACCUGGUUGUUUAAUAAGUUGCCACCUUGACAGCACCUAACAAAAAAGCCCCGGCUAACUACGUGCCACCAACGGCGGAAAUACUAAGGGGAAAUGCGUUAUCCGAAAUUAUUGGGCGUAAAGCGCCCGCAGGUGUGUUCUUACCCCUGAUGUGACCCCCCACGGCUCACCCGUGGAGGGUCAUUGGAAACUGGGAGACUUGAGUGCAAAAUAGGAAAGUGGAAUUCCAUGUGUAGCGGUGAAAUGCGAACACAUAUGGAGGAACACCAGUGGCGAAGGCAUACUUUUCUGGUGCUGUACUGACACUGAGGCGCGAAAGCGGAGUGGAUACACAGGAUUACCAUCCCCUGGAAGUCCACGACGUAAACGAUGAAUGCUAGCUGAUAGAGGGUUUGCCGCCCUAUUAGUGCUGAAGUCACCGCAUGAAAACAACUCCGCCUGAGGAGUACAGUCAGCAGGAAUUGACAACUCAAGG